GUGCUCGCUUUGGCAGCACAUAUACUAAAAUUGGAACGAUAUAGAGAAGAUUAGCAUGGCCCCUGCGAAAGGAGGAUGCACCAUCCUAAGUAUGCUGAAUGCCUGU
rnacentral:snRNA from 1 species